UACGGAGGGUGCAAACGUUGCUCGGAAUCAUUGGGCGUAAAGCGCACGUAGGCGGCCCAGCAAGUCGGGGGUGAAAGCCCUCGGCUUAACCGAGGAAGUGCAUUCGAAACUACUGAGCUUGAAUACUGGAGAGGAUCGCGGAAUUCCCGGUGUAGAGGUGAAAUUCGUAGAUAUUGGGAGGAACACCGGUGGCGAAGGCGACCGCCUGGACGAUGACUGACGCUGAGGCGCGAGAGCGUGGGGAGCAAACAGG
rnacentral:rRNA from 1 species